UGUGUCUGCGGUAGCCCUCCGUCCCC
rnacentral:piRNA from 1 species